UCAUUAGUUUCUUUGACGUCCUCAAUAACGUAUUAAUACUGCAACAAAAACGGUCUAUAGCGAUAUUUUUAAAUGUCAGUACAGGUCAAAGAAAGUACUGCUGGCUAAAUUACUGAUAUUUUUAAAAAGUAUUGUUAUAUGUGGGGUUGCUAGGUAUAUAGUGACAGUUAAAGAGUGUCGUUAUAACCUAAAAAAGUGCUGCUAAUUUACCAAUACUUAUUUAAACAUUUAGCAACCGUCAGAACUCUAACUCGUUGGCUGCGAUGGCGGAGGAGAACGAGAAGAAGGGAUCUUCGUCUAGGAUUUCAGUCGAUUGAGUGAGGGGAGAAUAGAAAAUGGUAAUCGAUUUUUUUUUUUUUUCUUUUCUAUUUGUAAUCGAGCUGAAUGGGCUGGGUGGGGUGGGUUGAGUAGAGUAACCUUUUAUUUUUGGUUGGAUUAGACUUUAUAUUUAGGUAUUAGUAGAUUUUUUUUUAAGUUUUGAUAUAAAUGGUACACUUACACAAAAGUGUCCCAAACAUGUGUUCCUAUAAUCUAAUUCUGUUGUAGUGUAAUUGUGUAGAAAA
rnacentral:lncRNA from 1 species